AAUUAACACUUACGGAACCUUCGUCGUAUCAUUCGUCGAAACCCUAAAUCAGCUACUCUGUCUAUCCGUCUGCCAAAAAGGGGGCCAACAUUUGUCAGCUAGCCUCAGUGACAACCUACAUACCCUUGGGCAAGACAUGCAUGCUCAAUGCUGGGAUGUGUCGGCUUGCUCCGAUAAGGCACUUAGAUUGACUAGCACCAGCCACCAAACAACUAUAUACGUAGUAGCCGUACGGGCCGCAGAUCGGCUUGUGUAGCUGCUAACUAAUUAAGUGUUUAGUCGUAUUGCGUAACCAUUCGCUGUAUUGAGUGUACGCAAUAUCAUACCUAGUAUGAUACGGAUACGAUUAGAGUCGGAAGUUGUACGCAAACUUACAUACUACGGACCGUGUACGUACUCGUACGUACUCUGUACCCAAAACGAUAAGCCCGUAUCGGGAGGGGUACCCUAAUCGAUAAGCUGGUGGGAUGACCCCAAAUGAGACAUACCUACGUCGAAGGAGCCCUAGCUACACGGCCAAGAUAACAAUUAAUUAAACAAUCAAUGUACAUGUUCCCAUGACUCUAGCAUGGCGGAGACGAUUUUUGAAAAAUAUGCAUGCUGUACGAAAGAGUGCAGAUUGCAUGGGAAGUUCAUAGCCCGGAAUAGACAAAUGAAGAGGACAAAUUCGCAACCGCCCGUUGAAACUAAGGGGAAAUCAACAAAUCAGAUGUGCAGGAUGCCUGAGUCCUGAGGGUGUAGCUGCUGUUACAGAGAUGCACUUCGGCAUUUGUCGAUGAUAAAGUGAUUGGCUCAUGAUUGAUUGCGAAGGCUUGACCGCUUACGAGUCUGUUAGUUACACGCUCACGGGUUCGGCACCACACUGUUAAUCAUUGACCAUUGACAACAAACAUGCCUGUCAAUACGUAAUUCAUCCCAUGUUUAUAACUAGUUCUUUGAUUAAUUGAUGGUUCGUCAAUCGAAUCAAUCAGUUUGAUCAAUCAAUUAAUAUAUAUCAGUGGCACAGACUGUAUGACGCAAACCCCAAUACGCACGUAUUCAGUGAGAAGCAAUAGGCGGGGUUGCCAGAACAAUCCCACCUUAGUAUUUUCAAUCAUCAUUAAACGACAGCCCCUCCGAAAGGCUACCUUACCAUUCUGAAUUGUCCUGUCCUGCCCUGCCCUUACUGCGAGCUGCAAGUUGCAUUCCUUUUUUCUGCUAAUUUAGAGUGUAUUCACCUUCCCUGUUCAAUCAUGCAGCAUGCGGCGGUUAGCAGAUUGAAAUGAGCAUGGUUGAAUGAUUUGACGUGCAGACUAAACCCAAUACCGGUACAACUGCAUCCCUAUCGGCAGGCUCCGGGUUUCAUAACGUUGCUUUUUUUUUGUGUGUGUGCGUUUAUCUGUUUCCCCCGUUUUGGUACGGAGUACGGAGUACGGAGUUCGUACUUCGUUCCAUAAAAAAAUACGAGAACGACGCGGUUACGUAGUUGGAAGUUAGUAACUAACUAAGGCCACGGAGAAGAUCCCGAGGGAAUUAGGUCAACAAGGCGAAGGGAAUGUAAGUUAACUAGUUAACUAACUACGGCGUACCCAGUUAAUGAUUAUCAAACAUUCGAGGAAACGCAAAAAAGAAAAAAUAAAGCUUUGGUUCGCUCACCGCUACGAAUAGUUUUUGAUUUGCGUGUAUAUCGAUGAUUCUGGUUGGGAAAUCAAUGGUUUGAAAUGAGCGGUGUCUACCCGUACAUGGACAACAUUAGUUACUAGUUAGUUAGCCCUAAGCCUUGGCUAAGACAUUGAGGUUUUAGUACUCCGUACCCAUGACAUCUUUCACGAUCCGAUUUUCCUAGGCAAAAGUGAAAAUGAAACCCGCUUUGCUAUAAUAUUACUGUAUACGGUAAUUAUUC
rnacentral:lncRNA from 1 species